AUGUUGUCCUAUUUGCUGGCAUUUCCUCUUUUUGUCCUUCCCGUUCUGCUUCUUCACUAUCCGGGUUAUCUGCCAUAUCUUCCGUCUUCAUGUAACCCACCCUUGGAGCCCGAUCUGCCACAACAAAAUUACUUUGUUAAAUUUCCUAAGCAAUGGUUUUUUCUAUUUGACACACCAUCGUUACAAUUUAUACCCGUUUGCUCUGGCCCUGUGUUGGCCGAGGUGUUUGGACUGCUUAUGGUUAGGUCAAUCAAUGGCACUGCAACAACUGAUAGUUUUCAUAUGUUAGUGUUCUUAAUUUUUAGAUAA
rnacentral:rRNA from 1 species